rnacentral:lncRNA from 1 species
GGGCAAAGACAGCCUGUUUAGUUGCUUAGGAUCAGGAUGGAAUAAGGAUGGCAGAAUAUCAUGGUGAACAGAUGGGGGUCAACGUUCAGAGGGUAAUCUGGCCAGAAGAAGGAAGUUAAAGGUACAGACCAGCGUCUCAACACGGUUGCUUGAGAUUCCUGAUAGCAUGGUGGCUAGAUCCCAAAAAGGAGUGCUCCAAGAAGUAAAGUUCCCCAGUAACCAGCAAGAAGCAGAACUUCCAUUCUUAUGCUGUAACAACAAAGUGGCACUUCAACCAUCUGUCUCCUUCCCCUCUGUGUCAGUGGGGCCCAACAGGGAUCUGAGCUGAAGAUGAUUCACCUCAGACCAGCCUGGGCAACACGAUUCACCAUUACCUUUGGGGGCAUGUUUAAAAGAGAUGCUUUCAUGUCCAAGUCUGGAAAUCCCAGCAUCUGUCCUGUCUUCAGAUACAUUCUAUGAAUGUAAGAAGCAUGGUAAACAAAUGGCAUCAGACAAUACUUACUGGUGAUUGAAGAAACUGCCCAUGGGAUCAUAACAGAAGCCCCGGUGAUAGUCUUCUCAGAUUGAACCACAGCACUAAUGGAGAUUACCAAAAUUUAUAGGAUAAGAUUACUGAAAUUUCUAUGUUGUUUUAUCCCAUUGAAAUCAAUGGAAAGCAAAGGACAGGAAAGAGCCAAACAGACAAUUUUCCCCUCUCAUCUCUAUGAUAUGGUCCCUCCUUACAGUUCUUCUGGAAAAGUCCAGAGUGCCAAGCAAAUAUACUGACUCUGGGGUCCUGCUGUGCUGCAUCGUGGCUCAUUGUGAACCAGUGGUCAAUCCAGGAGGCCAUCUCCAUAGAUACUUUGCAUCAUUUCCUUUCCCUCCCCUUCACCACUGGGGACUUACACUUCCCAAAUAAAAUAUCAACAAUUCAAUCCAUAUCCCUGCAUUCUAGACGCUUAGCACACUCCCAUGACCCACAUGCUGGUGAGGAUGUUGAGUUCAUGUGAAGCCUUGGUAAUUUUGGUUGGAAACAUGUUUCUAGAAUCAAGGCAAUGUGGUUUGGUCAAAUUCAGAUGAGAUUGUGGAGCCGCGUGUCCUAGAUUCCAGCUUUGGCUCUAGACCUUAUAAACCAACCCUGUGGCCUUUUAUCUCUCUCAUCAGUCUAAUGGAAAUCAUAUUACCUGCCUUCCUUAUCUGGAAAUGUCAUCAUCAGGAUCAAGAGAGAUAAGGUUUGAGAAAGUAAUGUGUAAGCCAUUAAGUAGUACACAGAUGACCAUUACUGCUGUCAAACAGGAAUUUGAUGCAAUGAACUCUGUUCCCCUUUUCUGUCAAUACAAGUUCAGUGUUAAACAUUUAUACAGUUGUGAAAACUUCAAGUAAGUUGCGUGUGUUUUUUGGCUUUUAUACAAAUGAUAUUUUACCAGAGCAGUGGUCAAAAAACUAUGACCCACAGGUGAAAUUCUAAAGGCAGUCCUUUUUGUAAACAAAGUUUUAUUGGAACUCAGCCAUGUGCAUUUCUUUACAUAUUGCCACAGCCACUUUCACACUACCAGGGCAGAGUUGAGUAUUUUCAGUUGUGACAGAGACUGUCUGGCCCAAAAGCUGAAAAUAUUUACUAUUUGGCCCUUCAUAGAAAACGUUUGCCAAUGCCUCUGCUAGAGGAAAU